rnacentral:lncRNA from 1 species
CUCUGGGGGACCCAUUGGUGGGGCGAGGCGGUUGCCUCGGCGCCGGAAGAAGCUUCUAGUUAAGAUGUAUCCCUGAUAAGUACUGUCUGGCAAUUCCGCAGCCUCGCCCGAACUGAGGGGAGCCAUCUUGUCCCUCUCUGCCUCCGAGUUUGUAUCGUUGCCUCCAUCUGUGUCUGUGUGUCUGUAUUAUCGUUGUUUGGCGUGUUUUUUUUUUUUUUUGUUUUUUGUCACUGCCUGCCUGGGUCCUGCCCGAGGUCUCCAUCCUCGGUUUCCCUGUCCUUGCCCCGGGCCCUGGGAGUGCUCUGGAAGGCUGCGCAGUAUUGGAGGGGACAGAAUGACCUUCCGGCCUUGAGUCCCUGUACUGGCUUCCAGGAAGUUAGGAAUUGGAAAGAAAGCUGAGAUGGUAGAGAAGAGCCAGGAUUUAUCGAGUCACAGGAUGAGAAUUUUGAGGAGGGAAUGG